GCUUGUCUCAAAGAUUAAGCCAUGCAUGUCUAAGUAUAAGCAUUAUACAGUGAAACUGCGAAUGGCUCAUUAUAUCAGUUAUAGUUUAUUUGAUAGUCCCUGCUAUUUGGAUAACCGUAGUAAUUCUAGAGCUAAUACAUGCACCAAGCGCGCUUUUACGAGCGCGUGUAUUUAUUAGAUACAAUCAACCCUUCGGGUUUUGAUGAGUCAUAAUAAUUAUCGGAUCGAUCGUAUGAUCGAUGCAUCAUUCAAGUUUCUGCCCUAUCAGCUUUGGAUGGUAGGGUAUUGGCCUACCAUGGCAUUAACGGGUAACGGAGAAUUAGGGUUCGAUUCCGGAGAGGGAGCCUGAGAAAUGGCUACCACAUCCAAGGAAGGCAGCAGG
rnacentral:rRNA from 1 species